CCGACCUUAGCUCAGUUGGUAGAGCGGAGGACUGUAGUGGGCUUUCCUAGCUGUUAUCCUUAGGUCGCUGGUUCGAAUCCGGCAGGUCGGA
rfam:Cajanus cajan CcLG01_140, whole genome shotgun sequence.